rnacentral:lncRNA from 1 species
GCUGUGUUCUGUAUUCUCUUAGCAAUGUGUUUCGGAUUAGAAAUGGAUGAGGAAUCGGUUGAGCAAAUGGAUCAAGUUCUUAAAACUGUUCUGAUCACCGUCGAUCCCAGAAUCGACGAUUUUCUCCCGAUUUUGAGGCCGUUCUUUGCUAAACAGAGGAAACGCGCGAUGGAAGUAAGAAGAGAGCAAAUCGAAUUCGUUGUCCAGUUCAUCAAUCGAAGAAAAAAAGCACUUCAAAAUCCAGGUUCAGACAAUAAAGCAACUUCAUUUUCGUACCUCGAUACACUCUUCGAUCUCAAAGUGGACGGCCGGAAAUCUACCCCAACCGACGCCGAACUAGUCACUCUCUGUUCCGAAUUCCUCAACGGAGGCGUGGACACGACGGCAACCGCCAUCGAAUGGGGAAUCGCAGAGCUAAUCACAAACCCUAACGUUCAGAAAAAGCUUUACGAAGAAAUCAAGCAAUUAGUAGGCGACAGAAAAGUAGAUGAAUCUGAUGUUCAGAAAUUGCCUUAUCUUCAAGCGGUUGUGAAGGAAUUGCUGAGAAAGCAUCCUCCGACGUACUUCUCGCUGACACACUCAGGGAUCGAGGCGUCUAAACUGGGGGGAUACGAUAUUCCGAUGGAGGCGAGUGUGGAGGUUUAUU